UACGGGGGGCAAGCGUUGUUCGGAAUUACUGGGCGUAAAGGGUCUGUAGGUGGCCAACUAAGUCAGACGUGAAAUCCCUCGGCUUAACCGGGGAACUGCGUCUGAUACUGGAUGGCUUGAGAUUGGGAGAGGGAUGCGGAAUUCCAGGUGUAGCGGUGAAAUGCGUAGAUAUCUGGAGGAACACCGGUGGCGAAGGCGGCAUCCUGGACCAACACUGACGCUGAGUGAGCGAAAGCCAGGGGAGCAAACGGG
rnacentral:rRNA from 1 species